rnacentral:rRNA from 1 species
ACGGAGGGUGCAAGCGUUAAUCGGAAUUACUGGGCGUAAAGCGCACGCAGGCGGUUUGUUAAGUCAGAUGUGAAAUCCCCGGGCUCAACCUGGGAACUGCAUCUGAUACUGGCAAGCUUGAGUCUCGGAGAGGGGGGUAGAAUUCCAGGUGUACCCAUCAAAUGCGUAAGUUUCUGGAAGAAUAGCGAGUUGGUAGGGAAAGGUCGCAACGAAAGCGGUCGUCGAGGUGCGAAAGGAUAGGUAGCAUUUUC